GAAGGAGCGAUGAUUAUAAAGAAAUUCCUCGUUCUGAAUGCUAAGGCAUGAUAGACUUCUUAUCACCCAUAGAAUAUGAGCUCC